UACGUAGGAGGCAAGCGUUGUCCGGAAUUACUGGGCGUAAAGGGCGCGUAGGCGGCCGAUCAAGUCAGGCGUGAAAUUCCCGGGCUCAACCUGGGGGCUGCGCUUGAGACUGGUUGGCUAGAGGCCGAGAGAGGGUGGUGGAAUUCCCAGUGUAGCGGUGAAAUGCGCAGAUAUCGGGAAGAACACCCGUGGCGAAGGCGGGUCUCUGGGCCGGAUACUGACGCUGAGGAGCGAAAGUGUGGGGAGCGAACAGG
rnacentral:rRNA from 1 species